UACGUAGGGACCAAGCGUUGUUCGGAUUUACUGGGCGUAAAGGGCGCGUAGGCGGCCACCGCAAGUCGACUGUGAAAUCUCCGGGCUUAACCCGGAAAGGUCAGCCGAUACUGCGGGGCUAGAGUGCAGAAGGGGCAACUGGAAUUCUCGGUGUAGCGGUGAAAUGCGUAGAUAUCGAGAGGAACACCUGCGGCGAAGGCGGGUUGCUGGGCUGACACUGACGCUGAAGCGCGAAAGCUAGGGGAGCGAACGGG
rnacentral:rRNA from 1 species